GGGUUGCUAGCUCAGUUGGUAGAGCACGUGACUUUUAAUCACGGGGUCCCGGGUUCGAACCCCGGGCAACUCA
rnacentral:tRNA from 1 species